AAGAGCAGCCAUUUUGUGCAUAGAUAUAGGAUCGGCUGUUGGGAAACAUACAUUAGUAUUAGUGUGGUAUGGUUGACCAAAGGAUGAUCAGUUACAGACAGAUCGUCAUGUGAUUUGUGCUGAAUUUUGAUUCAAUCCCAGUUGUGAGUCCUGUAAUCGUAACUCAAGUUUAUUAGGCACUAGAUACAGAAGCUCGUACUAGCAUUUUUCUUGUACUGGUAUAUUACCAUCACAGUACUGCCAUAUUUUUGUCGGCAUCACUGGGCACAGUUGGGAAGAGGUACACAGAUACAGGAGGCUCCUUACCAUCCCAAUAUCUAUUCAACCCUAUAAUGUUUAUAUUUUUAAAAAUUUAGAAUAAUAUUUUUGUAUUUACUUCUUCCAGUAGAUCGUUGAAUGUUACAACUGCUACCAGUACUAGGAUCUGAAUGAAGACCAUGUUGGGGUCUUUUGCUGGAACCACUUAUACUUGAUGAUGGUGGCUGAUAUAUGGUAGUCGGCAGGGCUGUCUGGUCCCAGUGGUGGUGGUUCUUGGGCUGGUUUUCUGUGUAGUAGUGAGGGCUAUUCCCUUGCCACUAUCACUUAUUACCUGCCUGACAGCAUCAUUGACCGUGUUUCUUAGGCUGUUGGCAGAUUUUUCAGAAUAUACAA